GACGUAGGGGGCGAGCGUUGUCCGGAUUUAUUGGGCGUAAAGCGCGCGUAGGCGGCCCGUUAAGUCGGAUGUGAAAACCCGUGGCUCAACCACGGGCCUGCAUCCGAUACUGGCGGGCUCGAGGCAGGCAGGGGAGAUCGGAAUUCCUGGUGUAGCGGUGAAAUGCGCAGAUAUCAGGAGGAACACCGGUGGCGAAGGCGGAUCUGCUGG
rnacentral:rRNA from 1 species